rnacentral:rRNA from 1 species
UACCAGCACCCCGAGUGGUCGGGACGUUUAUUGGGCCUAAAGCAUCCGUAGCCGGUUCUACAAGUCUUCCGUUAAAUCCAACUGCUUAACAGGUGGGCUGCGGAAGAUACUAUAGAGCUAGGAGGCGGGAGAGGCAAGCGGUACUCGAUGGGUAGGGGUAAAAUCCGUUGAUCCAUAGAAGACCACCAGUGGCGAAGGCGGCUUGCCAGAACGCGCUCGACGGUGAGGGAUGAAAGCUGGGGGAGCAAACCGG